GUCUAUGGCCAUACCACCCCGAAUACACCCAAUCUUAGAAGCUACACAGGGUCAGACCUGGUUAGGAUUUGGAUGGGAGACUACCCGGGAAUGCUAGGUGCUACAGUUA
ensembl:rRNA 5S_rRNA 5S ribosomal RNA